rnacentral:rRNA from 1 species
GAUCAUUAGUGAAUAUAGGACGUCCAACUUAACUUGGAGUCCGAACUCUCACUUUCUAACCCUGUGCACUUGUUUGGGAUAGUAACUCUCGCAAGAGAGCGAACUCCUAUUCACUUAUAAACACAAAGUCUAUGAAUGUAUUAAAUUUUAUAACAAAAUAAAACUUUCAACAACGGAUCUCUUGGCUCUCGCAUCGAUGAAGAACGCAGCGAAAUGCGAUAAGUAAUGUGAAUUGCAGAAUUCAGUGAAUCAUCGAAUCUUUGAACGCACCUUGCGCUCCAUGGUAUUCCGUGGAGCAUGCCUGUUUGAGUGUCAUGAAUACUUCAACCCUCCUCUUUCUUAAUGAUUGAAGAGGUGUUUGGUUUCUGAGCGCUGCUGGCCUUUACGGUCUAGCUCGUUCGUAAUGCAUUAGCAUCCGCAAUCGAACUUCGGAUUGACUUGGCGUAAUAGACUAUUCGCUGAGGAAUUCUAGUCUUCGGAUUAGAGCCGGGUUGGGUUAAAGGAAGCUUCUAAUCAGAAUGUCUACAUUUUAAGAUUAGAUCUCAAAUCAGGUAGGACUACCCGCUGAACUUAAGCAUAUCAAUAAGCGGAGGAAAAGAAACUAACAAGGAUUCCCCUAGUAGCGGCGAGCGAAGCGGGAAGAGCUCAAAUUUAUAAUCUGGCACCUUCGGUGUCCGAGUUGUAAUCUCUAGAAAUGUUUUCCGCGUUGGACCGCACACAAGUCUGUUGGAAUACAGCGGCAUAGUGGUGAGACCCCCGUAUAUGGUGCGGACGCCCAGCGCUUUGUGAUACAUUUUCGAAGAGUCGAGUUGUUUGGGAAUGCAGCUCAAAUUGGGUGGUAAAUUCCAUCUAAAGCUAAAUAUUGGCGAGAGACCGAUAGCGAACAAGUACCGUGAGGGAAAGAUGAAAAGCACUUUGGAAAGAGAGUUAACAGUACGUGAAAUUGUUGGAAGGGAAACGCUUGAAGUCAGACUUGCUUGCCGAGCAAUCGGUUUGCAGGCCAGCAUCAGUUUUCCGGGAUGGAUAAUGGUAGAGAGAAGGUAGCAGUUUCGGCUGUGUUAUAGCUCUCUGCUGGAUACAUCUUGGGGGACUGAGGAACGCAGUGUGCCUUUGGCGGGGGUUUCGACCUCUUCACACUUAG